rnacentral:lncRNA from 1 species
AAGGCAAAGGAGUCAAAGGCAUCCCUACUCCCACAAUUAGGAGUCCCAUAAACACACCAAGCUAACAGCCAUACAUAUGGCUGCAGAUGACCUAGUGCAGAACACUGAAGGCCCUGUGCUCGCCCCUGCAAACUCAGUGAGCCCAUAUGCACCCUGUUUGGUUGAUCCAGUGGCCUAUGUUCUCCCCGUGUUCUCCAUCUCCUCUGACUCCUACAAUCUUCCUACUCACUCUUCCGUAGGAUUCCCUAUGCUCCAAGAGAUGGAGACCUGCAAUUUAGAGUCUCUUUCUACAUAGUGUAUGGCUGUGGGUCUCUGUAUCUUCUUCCACACGUUGUGAGAGGAAACCUCUCUGAUGGUAAUUGGACAAGGCAACAAUCCAUGAGAACAGCAGAAUGUCAUUGGAGAUCUUUUUUAUUUCAUUUAUUUAUUUUUAUUUUUAUUUUAUUUUUUGCCAGACAUGUUUGGUUCUAACCUAGGUGUCUGGUUCCUCGCCAUCUGGGCAAUACAGGGCAUGGGCUCUCUCUCAUAGGUUGGGCCUCUCAAUAUAAAGCAAACAUUGGUUGGCCACCCUCACGUGUCCUGAACCACCACAGUGCAUCUUGCAGUCAGGACAGAUUGUAAAUGGAGAGUUUUGUGGCUGGGUUGGUGUCCAGGUUUGACUUGCUAGAACCUGGAGAGUGCUUCCCAUGCCAAAGAGACUAGAACAUAGAGGUGAAGGCUCCAGGCAGGCACUAAUUCAACCUCUGAACAUUCAUUGAUCUGUGUGGAUGUUGUCCUUGGCAAUGGUGCCCUGCUGCCAGUUCUCAGAGAGAAACCCUCUGUCCUAGCAUCAACCUGGGUUAUUUGGGGAUUUCCACAGGGGGACCUCCUUGGCCAACAACUUGACUCAAUGCAACUCAUCACUGGAAGCCUUGCUUGAUUACAAGCUAUGACCAAUUGAAAAUCCAUCUCUAACACUACAAGGACAGUAGGAUCACCCUCAUAGAUUACAGGAAGUUUCCACUGCUCUUGGUUUCUUCACUGCCUCCAAAAUGCUUCCCAAUUCCAGCCAUCUUUCCCCACACUCUCUCCCUUCAUCCCAUCUACCUCCACUCAUAUCUCAUCCCUCAGCUCCUGGCCUACAUAUCCCAGUCUACCAGCAAAAAAUUAUUCUUUCCCCUUCUACAGAAGAUGCAUGAAUUCCACUGCAGCCCUCCUCUUUACCUAACCUCUCUGAGUGUACAGACUAUAGCUUAAUUAUCAUUUACUUAAUAGCUAAUAUCCCUUAUACGUGAGUACAUACCAUAUUUGUCAAGUGAUAUCCAUCUUUCUGAGGCUAGCUUAAUUUUGCUUAACAUGAAGAUCUCUACUUUUAUUUGUUUUCUUGCAAAUAAUAUAAUUUUACUCUCUGUUACUGAAUAAAGUUCCAUGGUGUACAGAUACCAUGUUUAUUCAUCUGUUGAUGGGAACCUGGGCUGAUUCUCUGAUUGGGCUAUUGUGAAUAAUCCUCCAAUAAGCGUGAAUGUGAGAGAAUCCCUGUGGUGCAAUAACUGAGACUUCAAGAAUAUAACUACAAGCACUGUGGCUAUAUCAUGUGGUAGCUCAUUUUAGUUUGCUUGUUAAUUUGUUUGUUUUUACUGAUUUCCAUAGGGACUAAAUUUACUUUCCUACCAGACUGAAUAAAAGUUCCUUUCCCUCUCUCUCAUUUAGCAUUUGUAGUUUUCUCUCUUGAUGAUAGCCAUUCUGAUUAUGGUGAGAUAAAACCUCCUUGUAAUUUUGAUUUGCCUUUUUCUGAUAACUAAAGAUGCUCAACAUUUUCCCAUACAUUUACUGGGUAUUUGACUGUUCUGUGAUGCUGAAUCUUUAGAGUCUCAAGACUUCAAAGACAGAUUUAUAAGAAAAGGAAAGCUUCCAAAGAACUUAUUGUCCAUUCGAAAUCUUUUUUCUUUGGGUUAAAAUGAUCAAUUCCAAUGAAUGAGAAAUGGAGGAUUUUUUUCAAAUGUCUUUGCUUUCUCUGGAUCAUUUUUUGUUAGAUUUUAGUAUUAAGUCUUUGUGAUUUUACUACCUAUCUAUUAACUGGUCUCUUGCGAGAACAGCCCUACGUUCUAAAAUUUAGAUGUGAAAUAGAUCUGAAUAUAGCUGCAUUGUGGUGUGCUGGACAUGCACACAUAUACACAUGUGCAGACUCCUUAUUCUGUUACAUCCUCACCUUUACAUCCGCAGCACACUACCUACUUGUUGGGUAACAAGCUUUGAAUAUAAUUUGGAAAACAGGGUAAAAAUCUUCCCUAGUGAUAGUUUCAGUAGCCUCAGUGUCUCUGACUUCCUGUCCCCUCUUUGUUCCUCAGUGAUUAAGCUUGCUAUGUAAGAGAGGAAUCAGUAGCGAAAAUGUUUCUGGAUCCCGGCUAGUCCCUUUGAUUAGCAUCCUUUCUUCUCUGGCUCACUAACCAUAUGGUGAAAACAACUAGCCAUGAUUGUGGUUUCAAAUCUAAAGAAUGAUACUAUUUGUUCAUUCCUGCAACCUGAAGCAAGCAUCUGGUGGUUAGAGCUUCCUGAAAUAACAGAAAACAUGAAAGACC